UAUCAAUAUGUAAAAACUGCCUUUUCCUUUCCCCCUUUCUUAGAAUCAUAUUCUUUUGGAGCUUAACUCAGGAAAUAUCUCUUAGGGGAAGCAUUUCCUGAUUUCAUUUGAGCAUGAAGACUUGAAAACACACAUUUGGGUUGUUUGGGCUUGCAAAUUCAAGAAACCUCUGCUGUUGCUGCCACACACUUUAAGAUGAGUAAAAGAGAAAGAGUUCCUGGAAUCAUGCCAAAUAAUAUUGAAGAGAGGGGCCAUUCUUGCUCCAUCCCUGAAUUCAUUAGGAAAGUUCUCCAUUUCUCUGUCACAAAUAAUGGUAGGCUUUGAUUUUAAAUAAAUACUACUGCUUGCAUUAAACAAAAAGUCUUUCAUGCUUUUGCUUUUAGGGUUUAUUUGUUUUAUUUUCUGAUGUUUUAAUCCUAAUAGGGAAGGGAGAGGAUAUAGGACUUGUAAGUGUCUUGUAGGUGAUACCAGUGGUGGCUAGGUGAUGCAGUGGAUAAAACUUGGAAUCAGAAAGACCUGAGUUCAAAUAUAACCUUUAUAUUUACUGGCUAUAUAACUCUGGGCAAGAUAUUUAACUUCUGUCUGCCUAAGAUUUUUCAUCCAUAAAAUAGGAAUUUUAAUUGCAUCUACCUUAUAGGAUUAUUAUGAAGAUUACAUGAAAUAUUUGUGAAAUGCUUGGCACAGUAUCUGAUGUAGAUAGUCCAUGCCUAAUUAAUCCUUUUAACCUUUUCCCCCUGCAAUUUCCUUUCUUAUUUUAAAAAUUCCUUACCUUUCAUCUUGGAACCAAUAGUAAGUAUUGUUUCCAAAGCAGAAGAGCAGUCAGAGCUGGGCAGUUGAGGUUAAGUGACUUGCCCAGGGUAACACAGCUAGGAAAAGUCUGAAGCCAGAUCUGAACUUAGGACCUUCCAUUUCUAGGGACUCUAGUAAACUUCUGCUUUUAGUAAUUCCGAAUAGUGGACUGAUCAUUGACUUAUAAUGGUUUAGUGGUUUUUAUUCAUCCCUGAACUUUAACCUGGACUGUCAAGUCUGAUAUUCCUGAUAGAUCCAAUUGAGGGAGAUUUUUCCAGAUUGGAUUUGUCAGCUGUUCUGUCUAACAUGGACUAGCACACAAGACUCUGCAAUCAUGGUAACAAAGCCACUGCCCAACAAGUAUUUGAUAGUUAUUCUAUCUCAGCAUUAAUGGUGAUCAUACAUGGCUUUAGCACUUGGAGGAUUGGGAUGUGGGUGUGCAAGACACAUACUCUAGAUUGGAAUACUAACUUGCUGCACAUUGGCCUCAUUGAGCUAUAUCUAUUUAGGGGAAGCCAAGAUUGAGCAUACAUGUCAAUAGGGUGGAGGUAGCUGGAAGUUUGUGUAGGACAGCCUAAAUGUCGCCAUAGUAGUGAGUCAGUGACAAGUGUAGACUUGGCUAAGGAGGCUAUGGACCAUUAGUGAGUAGAACAUUGUGGGGGAAAAGCAAUUGAUUGAGCUAAGAACAGAACAGCAUACUCUCUUUUAAUUACAUAUAAGUUUUUAUUGAUAUCUUCUGGGUUUUUUUGUCAUUAUUAUUUGCCCAAAUAUUUCUCCCCUUCCCCUUCUUCCUAGAGAGCCAUCCCAUAUAACAAAUAGUAAUUUUGAACAAAAAAAGGGGGAAAUAUUUUAGAACAACUAAUCGAUACAUUGAAAAAGUCUGAAAACAUGUGCAAUGUGCAAUACCUAUGGAUCUCCAAUCCCCAUGAAGGAGUGGGUUGAUGGUGCAUUCUUAAAUCUCUUUAUUUCAGUCAUCCUUGACCUUAUACUUUUGUUAUAUUCAUUUUUGACUUUUUGAUAUGUGGUCAUUCUUGUUGCUAUUGUGUAUAUAGUUUUCUUGGUUGUGCUUACUUCACUCAGCAGCUGCUUUUUGUAGAUUUUUUCAUGCUUCUGUGUAUCCAAUCACAUUAAUCACUUCUUAUAUUAUAGUAAUAGUCUAUCAUAUGGAACUAAUGAAAUUUAUGAGCUUCUCUUUUGUUUCCAAUUUCUUGAGAUCCCCAAAAAGUGCUUCUUCAGAUUAAUCUCUUUUUUUCAUUGAAUUCUGAGGGUCAGUUGGAAAAAGGCCAAUGGAGAACCUGUCUAAAUGAUAAGGAAAUCUUAAUGGCUUUUGAAACUAAUUUGUAGAAAUGAAAGAAAUCAUGCUUUCCUUUUAGCUUCCAUAUAUUAAUAUUUAUUAAGUUGUAAUAGUUAAGAAAAUCUUUUGAAGAAAGGCAUCAUAUAAUAUGGGCAAUGAUAUGGUAUAGUGGAUAUAAUGCUGGGCCUGCAGUCAGACUCAUCUUCCUAACUUCAAAUCUGACCUUGGAUAUUAGCUAUGUGAACUUGAACAAGUCACUUAACCCUGUUUGCUUCAGUUUCCUCACCUAUAAAAUGACCUAGAAAAGGAAAUGGCAAGCUUCUUCAGUUUAUCUGCCAAAAAACAAAACAAAACAAAACAAAAAAAAAAACAACAAAACAAA